GAAAUGCGAUAAGUAAUGCGAAUUGCAGAAUUCAGUGAAUCAUCGAAUCUUUGAACGCACAUUGCGCCCGCUAGUAUUCUGGCGGGCAUGCCUGUCUGAGCGUCAUUUCAACCCUCAUUCCCGGCUUCGUGUCGGGGAUGGUGUUAGGGAUCGGCCUCCCGGUUGCGGGCGGCCGGCCCCGAAAUAGAGUGGCGACCACGCCGUAGCCUCCUCUGCGUAGUAGUGAAAACCUCGCAGGCGGAGAGCGGUGCGGCCUGCCGUAAAACCCCCAACUCUUCUAAGGUUGACCUCAGAUCAGGUAGGAAUACCCGCUGAACUUAAGC
rnacentral:misc_RNA from 1 species